rnacentral:misc_RNA from 1 species
GAAGGACUCAGUUUGGCCGGUAAAAGUGGACUUGAACAGAAAACGCUUCUGGAUGUAUUGGAUCUCGGUGCCAUUGCUAACCCAAUGUUCAAGCUGAAAGGCCCCGCGAUGAUCCAAAAUAAUUACCCUCCUGCUUUUCCUCUCAAACAUCAACAGAAGGAUAUGAGAUUGGCUCUUGCUCUUGGCGAUGAAAAUGCUGUCGCAAUGCCAGUUGCUGCUGCGGCUAACGAGGCAUUCAAGAAGGCCAGGAGUAUGGGACUGGGGGACCUUGAUUUCUCGGCUGUAUACGAGGUACUGAAGCCUGGAGAGACAUCCAAAGGUUUGUCAUAGUUAUCGUGCAUUGUUCAUUGUUAUGAUCUUGUCAAAUUUAUCAGUGUGGGCUCGUGGUUUAUCGAAAGUUGGAUGUGUAUUACCAUUGUUAAAGCCAAAGAAACUGGUUGACAC